ensembl:lncRNA
AGCAGGAGCUGGAUUAGUCCUUACCUACUUGCAGUCCUCAUCUGUGUUUAGAUGAGACAGUGAUUAAAAUUUUCUCAGACAUGUCUGUACAGGAGGACAGCUGAAAAUUUAAGACCAAUUUCCUAAAAUUCAUUGACAGCUAGGAGAAGUGGCUGACAUACCAGAAGGCUGUGCUGCAUUUCAGCAAGACCUGGACAGGCUGGAGAAUUAGGUGGAGAGGAAUGUGAUGAGAUUCAACAAGGGCAAGUGUAGUGUCCUUCACCUGGGAACAAAUAACUGCACACAUCAGCACAGGUCAGGGGCUGACCUGGUGGAAAGGAGCUCUGCAGAGAAGGACCUGGGUGUGUUGGUGGACAACAGGAUGACCAUGAGCUAGCAGUGGCCAAGAUGUCACAUUUUCUUACCUGGAGGACGGAACCACUGAAGUUGCUGGUGAAGUGACCAUCAAUGAAAGUAGAGGCAGGAGGAGCAAAUAUAAACAUGAUGUACAAACUGAAGAAACCUGGUCAUCAGCUGGCAAUUUCAGCUCAAAGGAACAUCUGAUUCCUAAAGUUACAGAACUUGUCUGAAAGAUUUGUUUGAAAAAGAGAAUGAACUACUCAAUGUCCCAGUUUAUAUGAUUAUAUGUUAUAGCUGGAGCAGACCGCAGCACAGAAGUAUGAAACACUACAGGUGAUAAUUGAAGGACAUUCUGGGGAGGAGGAGAAGGUACCUGGGGGAUCCAAAACAUGGAGUGCAGCUCCCCAGGGAGCCCACAUGGAGCACUGGAAGAAUCAGUAACCUGAGGAGAGAAACUCACUGCACACAAUGAAUGAUAACCUAUACUCAACAGUGUGAAAGAGCAAGAGAAAAGAUGGGGUUCAAAGUGCAACUCUACAAGAAGGGCAAGCUUCCAGCCUGAUAUGGCAGCAAGACAUCUCUCACUCAGGAUCUGCAAAAGCAACCUUCCCUGGUGUCAGGAUAUGAACAACCUUUCCUCAGCAUACCCAGGGGCUACCCUGCUCUCCUCAGCCUUGCAUGCUUCUAGGUGUAGCCAAAACUCUGCUUUGUGUAAACAGUAUACGUCAUUCAGUGUGUAACGGCACUUGUGCUUUAGGGUAGUAUCUUGCCUAGCCUCCAUCUGAAGGUAUGAACCUCCUCUGUUCCUGUGCCACAUGUCCCAGCCUCAUUCAGGUGUUUCAUGUCCCACCCAACUUGUAGAAACAGCAAGUUACUUGGGAUAGAAAUAUACAUGUGUUCAAGCAACUACGCAGAAUCAGUAGAUAGUUGAAAACAGUAGCAGUAGUCUCUUUUUGCCUCAGCUCCCCAUCUUCAGAACGGUGGUUAAAAUGCAUUAGUUAAUUCUUGAGAACCAUGGAUACACAGCAGUAAAAGCCCUGCAGGAUCCCAAAGAAAGGUACAAGUAGAAUCAUAGAGUCACAGAAUUGCUCAGGUUGGAAAAGACCUUAAAGAUCAUCAAGUCCAACUACAACCGAACCAUACAAUGCUAACUCUAACAACCCUCCACUAAAUCAUGUCCCUAAGCACCACAUCCAAACGGUUUUUAAACACAUCCAAGGAUGGUGACUCAACCACCUCCCUGGGGAGCCUAUUCCAGUGCUUAACAACCCUUUCUGUAAGGAAGUUUUUUCUGAUAUCCAACCUAAACCUACCCUGGUGCAACUUGAGGCCAUUUCUCCUCAUCCUGUCACCUAUGAGAUCAACUCCACUCUUGCUGUACGCACCUUUCAGAUACUGGAAGAGAGCAAUAAGGUCUCCCCUCAGCCUCCUCUUUCCCAGACUAAACAGCCCUAGUUCCCUCAGUCGUUCCCCGUAGGGCAUAUUCUCCAAGCCCUUCACAAGCUUUAUGGCCCUUGUUUGGACCUGCUGCAGCACCUCAGUGUCCUUUCUGUAUUGAAGUGCCCAAAACUGAACACAGAACUCAAGGUGAGGCCUCACCAAUGCUGAGUACAGGGGCAGGAUUUCUUUCCUAGUCCUGCUCACCACACUAUUCCUGAUACAAGCUAGGAUGCCAUUGGCCUUCUUGGCCACCUGGGCACACUGCUGGCUCAUAUUCAGCUGACUAUCCAUCAGUACACCAAGGCCCCUUUCUGUCAGGCAGAUUUCCAGCCACUCACUCCCAAGCCUGUAGGGUUGCCUGGGAUUGUUGUGACCAAAAUGCAGGACCCAACACGUGGCCCUUUUGAAACUCAUACAGUUCACCUUGGCCCAUCAAUCCAGUCUAUCCAGGUCUCUCUGUAGUGCCUUUCUCCCCUCUGGCAGAUCAACACUCCCUCCCAACCUGAUGUCAUCUGCAAACUUACUGAGGGUGCACUCAAUCUCCUCAUCAAGAUCAUUAAUAAAGAUGUUAAAUAGAAGCGGCCCCAGUAAAUUCUGUAUCUAUUCUAAGUGUUAUAUGAUAUACGUUAAAUAAUAACUUGAUCUGCACAUUGAGUGGAGGCUGAAAGGGAUCCCUGAGAAGCAGCUCACUCACUGAAAAAGGCAGGAUUCUGAGAGAAGAGGAAGGUGUGAUCAUCUAACUAAGAAACGUAUAAUUAUCUCUACACAAAUUGGGGCUGAACUUCAAGCUUAAAAGUAAUCUCAGUUCUAGUAUCUCUUAACUUUUCCUUGCAUAAUUUUGCAGCUUCAGUGUCUUUUGCAAAACGUGUUUCAGUUCCCUCCUGAGAGUAAGACCUGAACAUACUGGGGGGUAGCACUUUUGUCCCACACAGCCACUCCAACUACAAUGUGUGGGAAGCAGAGCCUGGUUCUCCAGUGCUUCAGCUCAGAAACCUUCCACUUGA